rnacentral:rRNA from 1 species
UACGAAGGGGGCUAGCGUUGUUCGGAAUUACUGGGCGUAAAGCGCACGUAGGCGGAUUGUUAAGUUAGGGGUGAAAUCCCAGGGCUCAACCCUGGAACUGCCUUUAAUACUGGCAAUCUCGAGUCCGAGAGAGGUGAGUGGAAUUCCGAGUGUAGAGGUGAAAUUCGUAGAUAUUCGGAAGAACACCAGUGGCGAAGGCGGCUCACUGGACUGGUAUUGACGCUGAGGUGCGAAAGCGUGGGGAGCAAACAGG